GGUCGGUUGGCUCAAUGGUAGAGCGUCCGCCUCCUAAGCGGAAGGUUGUGGGUUCGAGUCCCAUGCUGAUCG
rnacentral:tRNA from 1 species